CAUUAUUUAAACUGCUGUGUGUAUGUGUGAGCAGGCAUCUUUUCAGCCUACAUGUGGAUUCCUAAAUCUGCAGGCUGGUUAGAUGGUUGUCAUACGUUCAUCUGAUAUCUGCUGAAAUGUG
rnacentral:pre_miRNA from 15 species